rfam:Gossypium arboreum cultivar AKA8401 contig_481_11, whole genome shotgun sequence.
GGAUUUGUGGCGCAAUGCUAGCUCGUCUGACUCCAGAUCAGAAGGUUGCGUGUUUGGUUCACGUCAAGUUCA